GACAUGUCGCCUUCUUACCAUGCGAGUCGAACGAUGAUCCCAGCUUGCUGGGGGAUUAGUGGCGAACGGGUGAGUAACACGUGAGUAACCUGCCCUUGACUCUGGGAUAAGCCUGGGAAACUGGGUCUAAUACCGGAUAUGACCGUCUGACGCAUGUCAGGUGGUGGAAAGCUUUUGUGGUUUUGGAUGGACUCGCGGCCUAUCAGCUUGUUGGUGGGGUAAUGGCCUACCAAGGCGACGACGGGUAGCCGGCCUGAGAGGGUGACCGGCCACACUGGGACUGAGACACGGCCCAGACUCCUACGGGAGGCAGCAGUGGGGAAUAUUGCACAAUGGGCGCAAGCCUGAUGCAGCGACGCCGCGUGAGGGAUGACGGCCUUCGGGUUGUAAACCUCUUUCAGUAGGGAAGAAGCGAAAGUGACGGUACCUGCAGAAGAAGCGCCGGCUAACUACUUGCCAGCAGCCGCGGUAAUACAUAGGGCGCAAGCGUUAUCC
rnacentral:rRNA from 1 species